AACCGCACAAGCGUGGAGUAUGUUGUUUAUUCGAAGAUACACGAAGUAACCUUACCAGGUCUUGACAUACCAUUGACAGGUCUAGAGAUAGACCCUCCUUCGGGCAAUGGAUACAGGUGGUGCAUGGUUGUCGUCAGCUCGUGCCGUGAGGUGUUGGGUUAAGUCCCGCAACGAGCGCAACCCUCAUUGUUAGUUACUACCAUUCAGUUGAGGACUCUAAUGAGACUGCCAACGACAAGUUGGAGGAAGGUGGGGAUGACGUCAAAUCAUCAUGCCCUUUAUGACCUGGGCUACAAACGUACUACAAUGGCCAAUACAAAGAGAUGCGAAGCGGUGACGUGGAGCGAACCUCAGAAAGUUGGUCUCAGUUCAGAUUGAAGUCUGCAACUCGACUUCAUGAAGGCGGAAUCGCUAGUAAUCGCGAGUCAGCAGAUCGCGGUGAAUACGUUCCCGGGUUUU
rnacentral:rRNA from 1 species